GUCGUCAGCUCGUGUCGUGAGAUGUUCGGUUAAGUCCGCUAACGAGCGCAACCCUCGCUGUGUGUUAUAUGUGUCACACGGGACUGCCGGUCUUAAGCCGGAGGAAGGUGGGGAUGAUGUCAAGUCAGCAUGGCCUUUAUAUCCUGGGCUACACACACGCUACAAUGGCCAGCACAGUAGGUUGCUAAGCCGCGAGGUGGAGCCAAUCCAUAAAGCUGGUCUCAGUUCAGAUUGCAGGCUGCAACCCGCCUGCAUGAAGAUGGAGUUGCUAGUAACCGCAGGUCAGCUAUACUGCGGUGAAUACGUUCCCGGGGCUU
rnacentral:rRNA from 1 species